rnacentral:rRNA from 1 species
AGAUCACAGGACGACGACCCGCCUUCCGACACGGCCGCGCGAGCCUUCACUGCGAGCUCCUGCGCUCGGCACCUCGCCGUCUCCCCCGUUCCACCUGGUUCCAAGAACCUCGCCACCGCCCGCGCCACCGCCUCGGCCGGCACCAUCUCCUUCCCCUCCUCCUUCGUGCUCCGCGCCCCACCCCACACCUUCUCGCCGAUAUUGAGAACGUCCGUGACCAGCCUCUCCUCGAUGAACUGGUCGAACACCAGCGGCCACGUCAGCAUCGGCGUGCGGGCCACGGCCGCCUCCAGCAGCGAGCUCGACCCACAGUGCGUCAGGAACGCCCCCACGGCCGGAUGAGCCAGGAUCGCGGUCUGCGGGGCCCACGCUCUGACGAGCAUCCCCUUUUUCCCGACACGCUCCUCCCAUCCCGCCGGC